AUGUCACUGCCACAAGCUUCAUCGUCCACUACGGAUGAUGGUCUAGCUAAUCUUAGAGAGGAGAUGGCUAAGAUGCUUAGAGAGAAUUUUGGAGUUGAGUUACCUCGGAAUCGGACUUACCAAAAGCCGUACCCCGAGUACUUUGAUGCCAUCCAGUGCCCUCCAGGAUAUAAGAUUGCAGAUUUUGUUAAGUUCAAUGGAGAGGGCACAAAAACCACAUGGGAGCAUGUUAGUCAAUACUUAGCACAACUAGGUGAAGCAGGCUCACUAAAUGAGUUGAAAGUGCGUUUGUUUCCUUUAUCUUUAACUGGUACUGCAUUUUCAUGGUUUUCUUCUUUACCACAUGGUUCCAUUCGGGUUUAG
rnacentral:rRNA from 1 species